UCUGGGAGACGAGCUCCAGCCUUGGGAUUCCCAACUGUCUCCACUCGGUGAUCAGCACUGAAUACAGGAGACUCACCAUGGAGUUUGGGAUGAGCUGGGUUUUCCUUGUUGCUAUUUUAAAAGGUGUCCAGUGUGAGGUGCAGCUGGUGGAGUCUGGGGGAGGCUUGGUACAGCCUGGUGGAUCCUUGAGACUCUCCUGUGCAGCUUCUGGAUUCACCUUCAGUAGCUCUGCUGUGCACUGGGUCUGCCAGGCUUCUGGGAAAGGACUAGAGUGGGUUGGCUAUAUUAGAAGCAAAGCUAACAGUUACGCGACAGCAUACGCUGCGUCGGUGAAAGGCAGGUUCACCAUCUCCAGAGAUGAUUCAAAGAACACGGCGUAUCUGCAAAUGAACAGCCUGAAAGCCGAGGACACGGCCGUGUAUUACUCUACUAGACAUACAACUGCCUCUGAUAUAAAAUCUCAAAGUUUUGAUAUAUAUGGAGAAAGAGAGAGGGAGAAAGAGAGAGAGAGAGAAAUUUUAUACUUGAGUCAGUCCAUUUAGCAAUAAAUGACAGUAAGCUGAACCAUUUCCCUGUCAAUGCACUUUGAAUUUGUUUCUGGUUUAUUAACAUCAGAAGCAAAGCUGCUGCAAAUAUUUUUUGUUUUUCUAUUUACCUUUUCUCAUUUUUAUUGAGAAAAUAUGUGGAAAUAUGCAUCUCUUCAUCAUAAAAGUAAACUUAACUUGUUCAGCUUUAUGGAACUGUAAUUGACAAUAAAAUUGUACAUAUUUGAGGUGCACCACUUGAUAUUUUGGUAUAAAUUGUGAAAUUUUCGCUAUGACCAAGGAGUUAGCAUGUCUGUUACCUUACAGUUACCAUUUUCUUCCUUUAAUUUAUUAUGUGUGUGUCUGAUGAGAGCACCUGAGAUCUAUCCCUUUACCAGACAUCAAGUUUGCAAUACAGUGUUGAUAGCGAUAGUCCCAUUGCUUUACAUUAGACCUCCAGAACCCACUCAACCUGCACAACUGAAACUUUAUGCCCUUGACAAGAAUCACUCUAUUUCCACUCCUUCCAGCCCUGGGAACCACUUUUCUACUCUCUGCUUCUAAGAAUUUGAAUAUUUUAGAUUCCCCAUAUAAAUGAGAUAAUGCAGCAUUUGUCUUUCUGUGUCUGGUUUAUUCCACUUAGCAUAAUGUUCUCCAGGCCCAUCCAUGUUGUUGGAAACGUUAUAAUUUCCUUAUUUUUAGAGGUCACAUAAUAUUCCAUUGUAUGUGUAUACAUUUCCUUUAUACACCCAUUUACCUAUGGUCACUAACUUUAAAAAAAUUCUAGGCCAUUAUGAAUAAUCUUGUAAUAAACAUAUUUUUUACUUACUGAUUUUAUUUCCUUUGAAUACACAGGCAGAAGUGGAAUCACCAGACCACAUAAUAGUUUUACUUUCAAUUUAUAAAAUAACUUUUACUACCACUCCACUAAAUAGUUCCCUUUUCACCAGCUGUCAGCAUUUUGUUAUCUUUUGUGUCUGUGAUAAUCCUCAUGGUAACUAACGUGAGGUGAUAGCUCAUUGUGGUUUUGAUUUGGAUUCCCCUGAUGAUUAGCAAUGUGGAGCACCUUUCCAUAUCCUGCUGACCAUGCAUAUGUCUUCCCUUGAAUACAAUGUCUAUGUACAGUUUUGCCCUCUUAAAAAUCAGGUUAUUUUUUGCUAUUGUAGGGGUUCUUUACAUAUGUAGAUAGAUCCCUUUGUCAAAUAUAUAGUUUCAAAUAAUUUAUUUGUCUAUGAUUUUGGUGUCAAAUCCAAAUAAAUCAUUUUCCAGAUCAAU